AUUUAUUUACACAAACAAUUGUGACAUUUUCUAUUGUUUUUAGUCGCUGAGUGUUCCAGCAGGGGUCGGUGCUGCUGCAGUGGAGCAGGAGCUGAGUUUUCCAGCAGGAGCUGAGUGUUCCAGCAGGGGUCAGUGGUGCUGCAGCUGAGCAGGAGCUGAGUGUUCCAGCAGGGGUCGGUGGUGCUGCAGCUGAGCAGGAGCUGAGUGUUCCAGCAGGGGUCGGUGGUGCUGCAGUGGAGCAGGAGCUGAGUGUUCCAGCAGGGGUCGGUGGUGCUGCAGUGGCGCAGGGGCUGAGUGUUCCAGCAGGGGUCGGUGGUGCUGCAGCGGAGCAGGAGCUGAGUGUUCCAGCAGGGGUCGGUGGUGCUGCAGCUGAGCAGGAGCUGAGUGUUCCAGCAGGGGUCGGUGGUGCUGCACUGGAGCAGGAGCUGAGUGUUCCAGCAGGGGUUGGUGGUGCUGCAGUGGAGCAGGAGCUGAGUGUUCCAGCAGGGGUGG
ensembl:lncRNA